ACCUGGCUCUGCCUGCGGUGUCGCUGCUCCCCGAGCUGCUGCUCCAGUUCUUCAUACAGUCCGCGCACCUCCCUCUCGUGUUCACUCUCCCGCCUUCGAGGAACCGGGAUAUCAUAGACAUGAUCAUUUCCGAGCCAAGUCUCUGCCCCCUCCGUGAGUCCCCAGACCCCAGGCUAGGCCAGCCCUCACCGUCGCAGCGCUUGCUCAAGACCUUCGCGUUCCCGGGCCGCCGCCUCCAGGCAGGCCGAUGCGCGCAUCAGAACUUCCUCUAGAGAGCCCAACAGCUCAGGUCGCUCGCGCUGCAGCCCGACCCAGAGGGUUCUCACAGCCCAUUGCCUGGAGGAUGCGAUCAGAGACGGGAGCUGGUGGGUGAGGGUUUAUCUCCCCAUUGCGGACAGUGAAACAAACCCAUGGAGAACCCAGCAGCCCAGAACUACACCCCUCGCUUGGUGCUCUUAUGCUUCCUUGGCCUCUGCAAGUGUAAGGUGCCCUGUAUACCAAGUGCUGGGCCAGUGCGUGCCUAAGGUGUCUGGUGGCACCCCGCCCCGCAGAGCUAAGGCUUCCUGAAAUGCAAAUUCCGAGGAAAAUCACGCCAGGCCACUCUCCCAGACAACCACAACAGACAAGGGAUGGACUGACAGGACCUAGGGGUUCUGUAACAACAGACAGGUGGGCAAGGUGGACAGACUGUGAAAAGAAGAGGAAACAUUCUCAAAAAGAGAGUGGGGUUCAACUCACUCGCCCAGGACCCGGGCCACUCCUAGCUUCUCCAAGGAAGUGUAGAAUGUCUCAACAUCCUCCUCCUCCUCCUCCAGAGAGCCCCCUGUGCCCGACUCAAAGGUUUCCUCAGAAGUCCUCAAGGGGGACCCACCUGGGGCCGACUCCACCCCCACAAACUUCCCUGCAGACAUGGGAGGAGAGAAUAUCAGGGUUGUGGGUUAGCACCCUGGACCUACCCAACUCCCUCCAGCCACAUACAACAUAUCCUGCCCACUCUCAGGGCCCAGUUUCCUGUUUUUCUUCCUUGUUCUGGUUCUAUUGGCCUGGGAAUGGGAAAUGACAGCCAGCUCCCCCGCCCCACCUUGGUUGGCAGAGAAGGGAUUGGGGGAGGGCAGCCCAUCCACUGUAGAGUAGCUGUGGGAGGUACAGCUCAGAAUGCGCCUGUUUGUAGAUACCAGAAUGGCUAGGAAGUUGUGAAUGAAAGGCACAGGCUUUCAUAAGGUCUCAGGGCACCCUGAAGAGGGUCUCCAGGUGACUGGGACCUGCUCACCCAGGCCUAGACAGAACUCCCGGGCUGUGAGGAAGCCAGUGUGGGCCUGGUCCAGACUUUCAAAUACAGCCUCCAGCUGUUCAGGCGUAAGUGGAAGAUCACUCUGCAGACCCUGACCAGGCAAGAAGGACCACGGUGAGCAGCAAAGGUCGGCCUUGGGUCUAGCAACCUCUUGGAUCUGGGGCUCACCUGCAGAUCCUGACGAGUGAUGAAGCCCUUGGCAUCCUUGUCGCAUAGUAGGAAGAGUUCCUGGGCCUGCUGCAGCACCUCUACUCCAUGCCUUGCCGAGACCCCUGUUGUCUCCUCUCCCUCCUGGCCCUCCCCAGAUCCAGGCAGCCCAGGGCUGGCCAUAGGAGCGAGCCUUGGCUCUUGGAGGUGCUGUGAAGCAAAGGAAAGCUCAGCUGAGACAGGGACGCUCCAGGGUCACUGCGAUGGCAUGAAGCAGACCCAGUACCAGAGCUGCUUCUCAGGAAGUAGAGAUUCUGGGAAAGGCUGAAUCCCAGGAAGAAGCCAGUGCAAGAAAGGGAAGUGAGCUGGGUAUGGUGGCACACAUAUUUAAUAUUUAAUAUUUAAUCCCAGCACUCGGGAGGCAGAGGUAGGCAGAUCUCUGUCUGUGAGUUUGGGGCCAGGCCGGUCUACAUAGCAAGUUCCAAGACAUCCGGAGCUACAUAGAGAGAUUCUACCUCAAAACAAAAAAAGAAAGUGUGACCAGGCGUUAGUGGUGCAUGCCUUUAGUCCCAACACUCAGGAGACAGAGGCAGGUGGGUCUCUGUGAGUUUUAAGGCCAGUCAGGUCUACAAAGUGGGUUCCAGGACAGUCAGGGCCAUAUAGUGAGACCCUGUCUCC
rnacentral:lncRNA from 1 species